UACGAAGGGUGCAAGCGUUAAUCGGAAUUACUGGGCGUAAAGCGCGCGUAGGUGGUUCGUUAAGUUGGAUGUGAAAGCCCCGGGCUCAACCGGGGAACUGCAUCCAAAACUGGCGAGCUAGAGUACGGUAGAGGGUGGUGGAAUUUCCUGUGUAGCGGUGAAAUGCGUAGAUAUAGGAAGGAACACCAGUGGCGAAGGCGACCACCUGGACUGAUACUGACACUGAGGUGCGAAAGCGUGGGGAGCAAACAGG
rnacentral:rRNA from 1 species